GGGAUUAGACACACUGAUUGGCUAAGCCUGAGUCAUGUGCUAACUCCAGAAGCUACAAAUUGGAUGAGAUCCAGAAGAAUCACAUGAACUGAGAGGAGGGGAAGAGAGUUUCUUCAAAGGAACCAUAGGUGAAAUGAAUGACAGCUAGCCUGCUGGAAGAUGAAACAUAUGCAGCAGAAUCAAGUUGCCCUGUCAUCCUGGCCAAGGCUAUGCUAGAGCAGUCAACUGCCAGACAAUUCCAAGACAUGAGGAGGAGGAGCCGGUAACAUACAUUUGUUACUUGGAAAAUGGGAAGUAUUUUUCUUUUCUCAUCUGACAAGAGCAAAUGCCAUUCAUUUUCUGCCAUCAUGGCAAGGAAAAUGCAUUUAAAAGACACAAAGCCACCUCACCACCUUGUGCAGAUACCAAGAAAAGGCCUAGUGAAAACAUAAGAAGAAGAUGGCUCUAUGCAAACCAGGAAGAGGACUCUCACCCAAAACUGAAUCUGCCAGCACUUGGAACUUUGACUUCUCAGCCUCCAGAACUGUGAGAAA
rnacentral:lncRNA from 10 species